GCCCUCGUAUCCCAACUGGCACAGGAAACGGAUUCAAAAACCCGUCCAGUGUGAGUUCGAAUCUCACCGAGGGCACCA
rnacentral:tRNA from 1 species